GGUAUAAACGGAGGUCGGAGCCAGCUGCAAAUGGGAGGGUUAGCAGCAAGUGGGUGGAGCUUUACCCGCAAGUGGGCUGUACAAACUUCCAGAGGAUUUUGAUUGGUUUAUUUAUAUCAACUGUAGCAGCUAUUGGUUUAUGCUCCACAGUUGGUGGCGCUAAUGUGUAAGUUUUGUUGCGAUCGAUCAGAAAACAAAGAAGAAACCCGCUUUCACAUGUUAGCGUGUCGUUGAAAUGAAGGUGUAAGCUUGCUUUACAGUUUUUAGUUUUGUAAAAAAGCAUUAUAAGUUCUGAAGAAGACCAUUUUAUAAUGGCGUUUGUACGCUGUUUUUAGUCUUGAUGUAUUAAAAAAGAUAAGGGUAAAGUGUAUCCAGAUACAUUUCUGUAGUUUUUUAUUAGCACACAAAUUACAAAAUCUGUAACGUGGAUGACAAAAUCUUUUCUGCAUUCCAUUUCUACAAUUUGCUCUCCAGAUUAUGGAUUCUGAAGACCAUAAUAAUAAGGACAAUGCAGGACAAAGGCUGUCAAAUAACUGGAGUGUUUGUCUUGAUGGCAAUAUGCACUGUAUGUUAUUCUGGGACAGAAGUUUGACUUCACUGAAAACAUAGAAAAUGGUGGUGUGCCAUCUUGCUUGAAAAUUAAGUAAGUGUGAAAAAAUUAGCUGUACUUUUAACGUGGUGUUUUAAGAAACUCUUAAAGAAGUGAAAAAAAUCUUGUUCAGUCUGUAAACUGUUUUGGGAAGACAUGGAACGGAAUGAUUUAGUGACUCGCUCAUAACACUAUUUCAGUAAAAAUAUAUACUGCAGACACUUUGAGUGAAAAGAGUGUUUCAGUGAUGAUAAAAAUCAGCAGGUGUAAACACUACUUGCUCUAUCAAACUCCUUUAAUAGCUUUUCUUAAUACUAUUAGGGGUUGGCAAGAUUUUGAAAUGUUGUUGUAUUCAUUGGUGAAUAAUUUAAAAUUGGACCAUUAAUUGGAUUGUUUCUAUAUUUACAAAAGUCUUUACUGUAAUUUGUAAUCAAUGUAAUGCAUCCUUGCAUUUAAUUAAUUUUGAUAUUGAACUUGUUCUAUUUCUUACUUUAUUUGUUUUUGUUGCAUGGCAAUCAAAUUGUGGAAGACAUGGGAGAAAGAGAAAAUGAGCUGUUGUAGCUGGUAUUGUCAGCUUUUUAUAUUUUGCUGAUAUUUUUGUCAAAUAAAAAAUUAAUGGAUAAUUUUAUCACGUUUUUAUUCUAAUUCUCUUUCAGAAGAAGAAUGCUCUGCACUCCCUGAAACCUAGGGGAAGAAAAAAACUGAACUUGCAUAUGAAAGUAAGAACUUUGCUAUAAAACAAAAUACAUAUACUUUGCUGGGUUUCAAAUUAUGUAACUAUAAUUCAUUUCAGCAGACCAAACCCCAGUUGUGCCCUCUGUUUUGCAUAAUCAAUUGCAAUGAUGAUUUCAAAUGUGUGUCAUAGAACAAUUUUAAUCCACUUAUAUUUUUCUUUAAUGAUGAGCAGUUAAAAGAUGAUGACCCUCCAUCAUGCUUCAUCUUCAAGGUAGUUGAAUGUUAUAUAAUGUGCUUUUUAACAUUUUUUAACGGCCUGUGCUAACUUUGCAGUUAUCAGGAGCGUUGCUGAAGAAUAUACUUCUUGAAGUUGUUCUUCAAGAAGGAGAUGCUGCCUACACGACCCUGUCAUUGGCUUGCUCAAGGUUCAGGGACAUAGUUGGGGAUGACAAGUUCAAGAAUCAGGCACACUUCUUAUGGCUAGAAAGUGUUACAUGCUGGAAAAAAGUCAUCUCACUACAAACAGCUCUUCUGGAAGAUGUACUCAUUCUCCACGUGUUUGCUGCACACCUGGUUAUGCUGGGAAGGGAAAGCGAGGUGAACUCCAGGGCAUUUAUUCAAAAACCUUCCACCCUGGAUUUUGCAGAUUUGACUGCAUGCAGAUCAGUUCUAGUGAGCUGAUAUAGUUUCCUUACAAAGACUAAAAAUAAUAAAAUAAAACAAACACUUUUGCAAACAA